ensembl:lncRNA LRRC77P leucine rich repeat containing 77, pseudogene
GUUGUUUAUGUAAGAAUUUCAAGGCCACAACUCCAUAUUUGAAGUAAAGUGCUCAUAAAAUUAAUUGCAAGACUUCUGAAGAGAGAUUUGCUAGGAAAAAUAAAAAGAUAUAUAAAUUUCAGUGAUGCUGAAGGAGAGGAAGGAUGUGAUGUCUUUCCCCAUCCGUCAUAAGGGUCAUGGCCAACACUCCUAUAACAAAAGGUUUUGAGAAGCCAUCUGCAGCUCACAACUAGAUGAGUGACACAAUCAGAUGUGCGUAUGCAAAAAAAAGCCUGGAGACAUUGAACUAAGAUCAAAUUUAAUGUAUUAAAUAUGGUAGAAAGAAGAGAGAAUGAAAAAUAAUGUUAACAAUCUAGGUGAGGAAUUGCUGAGGAGACAAAUUAAGUAAAUCCUGUGGAAGGAAAGAAGAAAGGAGGAAAGAGGAUUGGAUGGAAGAAUCUCCACUUCUCAUAGGUGUAGUCCUUCCUUAGCCUGCUUUUUAAUGAGUGCUGCUAAAGCCCUUAGCCUGCCUGUUUACCCUUGGAGUGGAGCAAUGAACUGAAGAUAUUUGAGUGAGUUCAAGAGAGACUCAGAAGAGAAGAAUUGGAGGCAGCAAACAUAGACAGCACUUUUAAUGCUUUUCUCAUAUGCUGUAAGACAUGAAAGCAAUCUAUUGGGAUGAAAGCUGAAAGGAGAAGCGGGACAAGAGAAGUGAAUCCGUGGAAGACCCCCAAAAGAGGCUGCAGAUUCUUAGUGGACAGCUCUCAUAUCCCCUCCAGGGAAAAUGAUGAAAAAUGUCUUCAGAAAAAUAGCUUUAUGAAGGCAAGAGGACUUUUUGCACCUGCAAGACAUGUCUGAAAGCUCCUCAGGUCAAAACACAAGUAGUCAAGAGAUUUGUCCAUCUAAUUCAUCAUACUACUCUGAUCCAAGUGAGACCCACACUGGGUCAGCUCCAUCAAGGAGAAGAACAUUCCACCCACGUUUGGAUUCUGGAAUAUCAUCCUUGCUUCCAUCAGAUUCUUGUAAGUACCUCACUUGGCACAAGGUAGACAUGACGUUCAAGGAAGUCAACUGCGUUGCCCAAGAGUAAGAGAAGGAAUCUCUGAAGAAGAGCAACUUUUCAGACAGGUAGAGUGUGCCUUGCUCCCAAGGAAAAGAGUUCUUGAAAAAAACAAAUGGGAAACAUGGCUACAAGAAAACUGGGAAGACUGCAAGAAAAUCUCAGAAUCUGCUUGAGAAUCCGGUCCUUCUUCCUCCAUACACCCAUGGAACACUCCCAAACUCUGUAUGCUGCUCACUAAUUCUGAUUAAGGUCUUCACCCUCCCUACCUUGGAAAUUGCUACAACAUAAUUGUGUUUAAUUUGAACAUUUCAUUUCAGGGUUUGGGGGAUCCUUACCAAGUUGAAAAUUUUAACAGAAUUCUUAGAAGACUAAUUCGAGUUGAAACCCUCUGGUUAGUGGAUAAUUCACUGGUGGACUUAAGUGCCAUAAGAUUGCCAAGAGUAUUCUCCUGUUUGCCAAACUUAAAAAUGCUGGAUGGAAUCUUGAAGCUACCAGAAGAUUGCUUAUCACCAGAAACCAAUAUUUUUUCAAAAAUAUGCCUUGUAUCCUAAUGCAGUCUGUAUAGAAAGAAAGCAAUCAUCAUUGUUGCUAAAAGCUAAUAAACACAGGACAUGCAUGAUUAAA